GUCUGCUGAGGGAGAUGGGGUGUCUUAAGUUCAUACUAAUGUAAGGGGGGAAUUGGUGUAUUAUUGGAGUUAGCUUGGUCAUUAGGGUCAUUAUCUGAAUUUGCAGUAUGUAUCUUUCAUGUAUGGUCUUAAAUUAGAUUUUAUAAAACCGACUGACUCUUCAGGUUCAAUAGAAAAAAUAUCUGUGGGUUACACCCUCAUUAUCAUGCUCACUCCAUAUUGUACCAAUGGAUUUGGGAGAAGGUACAACAAGAUACUAUACUCAAGUUAAUGACCAACACUUUAAAAAAUUUACUGACUGAUUUCUUUUGGUACAUUUCUGUAUUUUUUAACGCGAGUUACCUGUAUUGUUUUUUUAUACACACUAAGGUGCUAAACUAGAGCAAGACUGGAGUUUUACCUGUAUAUGACAUUUCCAUGAGAUGGUACAUAUCAGCAGAAACCAUUCAGGGUUUAAUGAAGCCUGAUUUUAUCUCAGUGUCAAUCCUAGUCAGGUUUAAUGUCAGGCUUCAUGAUUCAAAUAAAUAAAUAAAUAAAGUCCCAAGUUUAUCAUCAUGGUUUUACUUAAUUAACACAGGGAACCAGUCACACAACAGCUUCUUCUAUGAAUCACAGACAAACAAAAAAAAAAAAUCAGUAAUUAAUCAGAGUUCACUUCUGCUUGGAUACAUGCUUAAGAGUUGGCAAUGCGUUUCAAGUUAAACUUUCAUAUUAAAUGAUUAUUAAAAGGUAUGUUUAUGUACUUAUUAUAAACAACAGAAUGAGCACAACUGAUAAGUUGUUUUCUUAUACACUCUAAUUAGAUGUAGUCACAAAAUUUUCUAAUUCCAUGAAGCUGAAAUCAGUAUUUUCAAAUGGAUGAAAUCCAUUACUUUUUGUCAACUUCAUUGUUAGUACAAUAAAUCGGGUUGUGGUCAAUUGAAUUUAUGUCACCGGUGUUUGUUUUUAUUAUUAACAUACACAACAUAAGAUGAUGAACUGUUCACCAAGUCAUGUUUUUGAGAAACAGCAUAAAUUUGCACUGUUAAACCGGAUUCGUUCAUUCCACUCAAAAAAUUUGAGGAAACUAAUUACCUCAAAAUUUUUAAGUUGAUAAAUCAAUUUCUUUAAGCCAAAUACACUUAAAUAUAACAAAAAUGUAACUGAAACUUGUUAUAGUUAAAUGUCUUUGGCUUAAAGAAAUUGAUUUAUCAACUUAAUAAUUGAGGUAAUUAGUUUCCUCAAAUUUUUGCGUGUGUGUGGGGGGCACUUUAUUCUGCAUGAUUGUUGAGAUCACACACAAUCACACACACAAAGAACCCAAUUUACAGUCUUAGCUUACAACAUAUUGAAUUUCAUGCUGAAUUUAUUACUG
ensembl:lncRNA